CGUAGGGUGCAGGCGUUAAUCGGAAUUACUGGGCGUAAAGCGUGCGCAGGCGGUUUCUUAAGUCAGAUGUGAAAUCCCCGGGCUUAACCUGGGAACUGCGUUUGAAACUGGGAGACUUGAGUGUGGCAGAGGGGGGUGGAAUUCCACGUGUAGCAGUGAAGUGCGUAGAUAUGUGGAGGAACACCAAUGGCGAAGGCAGCCCCCCUGGGUCAACACUGACGCUCAUGCACGAAAGCGUGGGGGAGCAAACAGGAUUAGAUACCCUGGUAGUCCACGCCCUAAACGAUGUCAACUGGUUGUUGGGGGAUUAACUCCCUUAGUAACGAAGCUAACGCGUGAAGUUGACCGCCUGGGGAGUACGGCCGCAAGGUUA
rnacentral:rRNA from 1 species